rfam:Callithrix jacchus chromosome 6, whole genome shotgun sequence
AUCUUUUUGUAGUUCACAAGUGUGAUGGCUGGGUUUUCAGGCUCAUGUGUGAGAUAUGCCUUCCUCGAACCUUAUUAUGCUAUCAGCACAUUAUCUAGCUGACA